GGGAAUGACUUCCGCAAUGCAACACUUGGAUUGUAACGGACUUUUUGGUGUCUGUUGUUUUGUGAUUUUUGUGAAAGAUCCAGUUUAAGGAGCUGUGGUGAUAAAAUUUUCCAACACAAAAGAAAAAGACAUGGAAGCAAUAAUCAAAGACCGGCUGAAGUCUUCAAAAAUUCGGUUUACCAGCAAAGAGACGAAAUCUAAAAAUGUUCAAACACCGGAUCCUGGAGGAAAAUCUGAAUGCUUCAAAAAUUAAGAUUGAAUUGAGGUGCAGUAACAUAAACCUGUAUGUAGCUCAAAAAAUUGCUACUUUGAACAGGAAGAGAAUAAAGUAAUCUGGAGCACCACAAUAAGGACCUUUCUUCAUAGAUAAAUUAAUGACAUGCGUAUGAGUUAUUUUAAUAAACAACUUUUCACAUUA
rnacentral:lncRNA from 1 species